UACGGAGGGUGCAAGCGUUAUUCGGAAUUACUGGGCGUAAAGCGCGUGCAGGCGGGUAUGCAAGUCUGAUGUGAAAGCCCCGGGCUCAACCUGGGAAGUGCAUUGGAAACUGCAUAUCUUGAGUGCUGGAGAGGAAGGGGGAAUUCCCGGUGUAGAGGUGAAAUUCGUAGAGAUCGGGAGGAAUACCAGUGGCGAAGGCGCCCUUCUGGACGGCAACUGACGCUGAGACGCGAAAGCGUGGGGAGCAAACAGGAUUAGAAACCCUGGUAGU
rnacentral:rRNA from 1 species